UCUCAGAAGGAUACACGAUCCUGAAAAGACUGAGGACUGUUCCUCUAAAUCGGGAAAGAGCCUACACUCCAGGAGGUGUGCGUGAUGAUUCAGUGAAGAAAGGGCUAAAAAUGAAAGUGGAGGCAUCAGAAAGCAGAAUAUAUUGAUAAAUCGAAGAAAGAAAACAUGAAAACAAUGCAGCUUGACUUUUGCCUGGAGUUACAAGAGAGGAAAUCAAAACUUGAAGGACCUGCUAUCAGUGGCUGAAAAACCUCAACAUGGUUUCCUUGGCAAUCACUGGAAUGGGGAAAUGAAAGGGAAGCUACACAAUUAAAGAACAAAAAGCCACAACCCCUCCCACUCGCUCCCCUUUGAUUCCCACCAAAUCAGAGGAAGCUGUAUGGAGGGAAUAAGCCAACCCAGGUCUUAGAGAGACUGUCUGGCCUCCUCCCUGGACUGUCACAUAAUCAAUGGGCAGCAACCGCCACGUCAUGACUUCAUGGUCAGAUUGGCAUGAGAUACAACAUGGGUGAGCAAAGAGGUGAGACUGAAGGACACUUUCUGUUGAGGAAAAACGAGUUACAAGCUGAAAUCGUUAGGCUUCUUUCUGAAAUCGUUAGGCUUUCUUUCAAUGU